UACUGAGGGUCGGCAAUCGGG
rnacentral:siRNA from 1 species